AUGUACCGCUCGUACACUCCGGGUCCUCCGCGCCGUCCGUACCCACCUGACGACCGCUCGCGCCGUCCGCGCUUAUUCGCU
rnacentral:sRNA from 1 species